UUAACUUUUGAUUCUCCACAGGAAAUCCACUAAGGAUAGAUUGAGUAUGUUGAGAUUUGAAAUUAAAUAAAUAAAAGCCAUUGUAGGGGAUUAGACUUUUAAUGUUCUUUAAAUUUACGUUUUUUUUAUUGCUUAUAAAAAAAUGUUAGAGUAUUUGCCUUUGAAGCAUUCAUUCUGUACUUUGUCGUAAUCGUCGGAUUCUCAGGUUUCUGAUGGUACCUGAAAGCAUCUCAUAUGACAGCUGCAACUUCAGCAUGAUGACAUCGUAAUCAGUGUAGACUUAUUGUGCUAUUUACACCUGCUAUCGAGCUGCUCUGCUCCUCAAGCUAGCUAGCAAGUAGCAGGCUAGCGCAUGUUUCCAGAAGCUAAUGCUGUUCGGAGGGGCCUUGGUGUGGAAACGUUUGGGAAUGCUACAUAAACGCUACAUGACCGGCAGAUGGGGUGGAGUGAGUCUGACAGAGUCUGAUCAAGCUGAACUGACUCCUUAUUGAUCUUGGCGUCAAGUCAGAGCAGAGGCUCCGCUGUUUCCAUGGCAUAGGGUCGUGGGGAGGGGUACUGGAGCCAAUCUCAAUUGGAUAACAGCUGAGACGAUGCAGUAGCGGCUAAUGGAGGAGGAGGGAUGGAAGAGAGUUGGCCCCAGGCACCACAAGACAACAAUAAGGAAGACUCGUGGGAGAUGUCGACAAACGUGAAGGGUUCGGCCACCUAGCGUCGGCGUCGAUGCCAUGUACCAAAUAUGUAAGCAAGGUCAGAUCCUAGGUCAGCGGUGUCAAACUCAUUUUACGUUCAGGCGUGGAGGCCGAAGUUUGAGGUAAAAGCUCUUUCUGAUUCUAUUUGUUCUGUUCUUCUUCAUUUUGGACCAAAUCCAUGAACCACAGGUUUCCAAAUCCCAUCCUCAGAAUGUGCUGCCUUGCCUUCAGCAGUCAGGAAACAUUUCAUUUUUUUUUUCAGGAGCAGUGCAUACAAUUGGUAUGACUUACUGAAGCAUUAUUGUAAGUUGUAUUUUUUGUGACUAUAAACUUGUUUUUUUCUUUUGUUCAUAUCAUUUAUUUUCAACAGGCUUAUCCUCAAUACCAUGAUGGCUCAAGAAAGCUUGGGAAUAUUUGUUCUGCUGCACUCCUGUAAAAGUAGUUUCUGGGGGAUUUAGCCUGUUUUAGUCUCUUGGGAAUAAAGAGCCUUUGUUGAGCUUUUUUUUUCAAUAACGUUUCAGUGCCAAGGCUGUUCGUUUGACAAAUUGCAGCAUUGAUCCAGGAAUGGAUCGACUGUAAGAACCCUGUCAUAUCUUUGUUUUCCAUCUUUCUAUUAUGGUCUUUGAAGGUAUAUUUUCUGCUCCGCCACACUGCACUUCACUGUCAUCCAUAAUGUGAUAAUGUCAGGACAGCUGAAUCACAAAAGACAUGUGGUCCUGGUUGUGAUAACAGAGGGUAUGUUCACUGCCCUUUUUUUUCUUUUUCCUGGUGUACGAUUUAGUUCCACACUCAUUGUUCUGCACUCUGCGAGAUAAACACUGCAUCCCGACUGUUAUUACAUCUGCCACGGUGACUGCACUGCAUCAGCGGAUGCAUCCCUCGUACGUCUCCACCCGGCCAAUCCACUUUGACAAAGCAAACAGCCAACAUAAAGAUCAUAUCAAGAUGAAUCCACCCCGAAUGACAAUGUGAUGUCACUGUGAAGCUCGAAUAAAAAAGGGAGCAUUUGUAUUCCUGAGAUUGGAAAUGCAUUGCAGGGCAAUAAAUAUAGGUUAAUUAUUAAUGCUAAAUUGACUACAGGUGACCAUGUGAUUCUGAACAACUGUGGGUUCAGGGCAUGUAUAAUUAACUAAUUCAUGUAAUUUCCCUUUGUUAAUGUAAUUUUUCCUUGCUGCUCUUGCACAUGUGACUGCCCUAACCCUAACACAUGGAGGAUAUCAUUUUUAUUAGUUUGAUUGCAUUAA